AAAAAAGAAAAGAAAAGAAAAAAGAAAGGUCCAUAGCUGUUUUUUUGACACCCUUUAAACUAAGUGCAAUAUAGAAUUCCAUAGCUGUUUUUUUGACACCCUUUAAACUAAGUGCAAUAUAGAAUUUUAAAAACUACUCAAAAUCUCCUUUUUGUAUUUGGUGAUAGUCUGUUAAUUAGAUAAAGUGCAUAGCUAUUUAAAAUUUUCAAUAUCAUAUGUUUAUUGCGGGCAGUUUUUUCUCAUUUCCAGAAGUUCUAUCAUUUUUUAGGACAAAAAGUUAUUAAUUAUAAGGAAAAGUAUCAAUUUUGCCAUAACUGCUUUGGCCUUUCAGGACAUGUAUGCUAAAUAUUCAUUUUAUGCAGGAACUCACUCUGCAUUCUA
rnacentral:misc_RNA from 1 species